AUCAAAAGACUAGAUCGGAAUGGAUAUUUACCUUUUUCUUUUUGGAAAUCGAGGUCCUUACGUAGAGGGGAAGGAGACCUACAUUUUUUUCUUCAGCUGGAAGUGCAACCGGGAUCCCUUUCCUCCUCGAAUCCCCUUCCUCUUCUUCUUUCUUCUUCUUCUUCUUCUCUUUUUCUUUCUUUCUUUCCUCUGUUUCACGCCUGAGA
rnacentral:lncRNA from 1 species